rnacentral:pre_miRNA from 1 species
UGAUAUGUUUGAUAUUGGGUUGUUUUACUGAAACUCGACUAAAUAUCUUACAUAUUGUUA